rnacentral:rRNA from 1 species
GUGAGGAAUAUUGGUCAAUGGGCGGGAGCCUGAACCAGCCAAGUCGCGUGAAGGAAGAAGGAUCUAUGGUUCGUAAACUUCUUUUGCAGGGGAAUAAAGUGCGGGACGUGUCCUGUUUUGUAUGUACCCUGAGAAUAAGGAUCGGCUAACUCCGUGCCAGCAGCCGCGGUAAUACGGAGGAUCCGAGCGUUAUCCGGAUUUAUUGGGUUUAAAGGGUGCGUAGGUGGUUUGAUAAGUCAGCGGUGAAAGUUUGCAGCUUAACUGUAAAAAUGCCGUUGAAACUGUCGGACUUGAGUGUAAAUGAGGUAGGCGGAAUGCGUGGUGUAGCGGUGAAAUGCAUAGAUAUCACGCAGAACUCCGAUUGCGAAGGCAGCUUACUAAGCUACAACUGACACUGAAGCACGAAAGCGUGGGGAUCAAACAGGAUUAGAAACCCGCGUAGUCC